GCUGUUUACAUGGAUUCAUUUAAUCUUCUAACAACCUAAUAAUAUAGAUACGAUUAUUAACAUUCUCAUUUUACAAGUGAGGAAACAGGGACAUGGAAGGAGUUAAGCAACUCACCUAAGAUCUCACACAGCCCACAAAUUGCAGUUAGAAUUCAAACCCUCCAUCUAUCAAAUCCUGGCUCUCCCAACAUCCUUGAACAAGUAUCUUUGAACACUUGUCCUAUUAUUUCAUUUCUUUGGCUACACUAUUAGAAGUGGUUACAUUGGAGGCACCUGGGUGGUUCAGUCCGUUAAACUUCUGACUUCGGCCCAGGUCAUGAUCUCCCGGUUUGUGGGUUCCAUCCCCUCUUAGGGCUCUGUGCUGACAGCUCAGACUCUGCUUCGGAUUCUGCGUCUCCCUCUCUAUCUGCCCCUCUCCGUCUUGCGCUCUCUCUUUCUCUCAAAAAUAAACAUUAACAACAACAACAAAUUUUUUUUUAAGCAAUGCUUUAAAAAAAAAUUGGCUACAUUGGGUCAAGGAGUUUGUCCUUUUAAUUUUUUUUCUUUCUAAAUUAAAAGAACCAAAAUGCCAUUAUGUACAUUGGCAUUAUUUUACAUUCCCAUCAUAAGGGCACGAGGGGGGGGGGUGCCUGGUUGGCUCAGUUGAGCGUCUGAUUCUUCGUUUAGGCUCAGGUCGUGGUCUCGAGGUUCGUUUCAUGAGCCUGCUUGUUAUCUUCUCCCUCUCUCUCUGCCCCUUCCUCAGCUCGAGAUCUCUCUCUCUCUCAGAAUAAAUGAAUAAACUUGUAGGAAAAAAAAACAACAAGGGCAUAAGAAUGCCUGUAUCCCCAUAUGGAUAACACUGAGUAGCAGCAAAAUUUAUUUUUUUCCUCAAGCUAACUGAUGAGAUAUGGCUUGCCACUAAUGUUUUAAUUAGCAGUUUAGCACUCAAAAGCUUAGCGAAAGACCCCUGGAGAGCCAUUUGCCUAGGGCAACGAGUCGUCCAGUCCCGGUGCGCUGUCUCCCCUCGGCCGGCAGAGGGCGCAGGCUUAGAGGCUCCUCUCUCCUGUGGUCCUCGUUGGCUUCCCAGGCACAGUGCGCACGCGCAUAUUUCGCUCCAGGUGUCCAGCUUUGUGCCUGACCGAGGUCUCCUCGGCUGCGCUCAGCGCGCAGUUUUUAACCCUGGCUGGUUUUCGGGGAAGAGUAGCGUGUUCCCUGAACCCCGAGCGACUCUGGGCCUCUGGGCCGAGAGGGUGUGGGGCGGGCCUCGAGGGGUCGGGCGGCGCGUCGGGCAGCCCACGCGGGCGGGGCGGGCGGGGCGCGCCCGGCAAGGACUUGGGCGUCGGUCGCCGGUGGUGGGGCCGGAGCCGGGCGCGGAGCCCCUGACAGGACAGGCUGUAAAGUGCUCUGAACAUGCGAAGUCCAGGCUGCAAGGAGCUGCGUGGCUCUGCCUACCUGGGUAAAUGUGACUAGGGAAGAAGAGGGCAAACAUGGAAAUUCUGCAGGGGAGGAAAGAAAUGGUUUCCUAUGGGGGUCUGGCCAGGAUUGAAGAUGUGAAGAGGUGUUUUGGGGCCAUAUAUCUAACUGUUGACUGUCAUUCUACUGUUGGGCUUUUUGGCCUGCCUUAGAAAGAGGGUGGAGUGGAGGAAGAUUCUGUUUGGCCUGUGAAGACCAGUGCAGAGAAGACAAGUAUCCCUAGGCCCAGGGAAUCUAGAUCCACUCUGCACAUAGUGGAGCUAUAUAGGGCAGACCCCAGACCAGCCUUGAGUGCUUAGGGGCAGGGACUCUGGUUUGUCGGUUCCUAGGCCAUGUUAGAUGGGUAAAUGAAUGAAGUGGUAUUAUGACAUAGCCCUCUGGAGACUUCUCACUGGAAUACUUAAUCUUGUUAAACAUUUUCAAUUAUAAAAGUAAUACAUGCUUAUUAAAGACAUUUUGUGAACUAUAGAAAAUAAACAUCUCAUUUUUUUCUGUUAAGGAGAUGCCUAGAAAGCA
ensembl:lncRNA